rnacentral:lncRNA from 1 species
AACAGAAAAAACAAAGAUAACAGUGGUUUAAACUAAAUAGGAGUUUUUCUUCUUACAUAAGUCUAGAAGUAGGUGGUGUCCAGGUUCCUAUCUUUCUGCUCUGCUAUCCUCAGUGCAUGAUUUUUAUCCUCAGAUUACCUCACUCUCACUGUUCAAGUUUGCUCCUGGAGGCAGUGGGGAAGGCAAGAAAACUGGACUUUCUCUGCUUGAGUUAGCUUCCCUGAGGCCAUUUUCCAGAACCAGCAGCACCUGAACUUAUGUUUCGACCAGAACUGGGUCACACUGAUGGCCACACCUAGCUGCUAGGGAGGCUGAGAAGUCAAUGUGGCAAUGUGACCAGCUAAAAGUUGGAUUCUUUUACUAAGGAAGAAGGGAAGAGGGAAUGUUUGGUAGGCAACUUUGGAUUUUAAACUCAGCCAGCCUUGUUGGCUACCUAAAUUCUGUGUACCUUCUUCUUCCGAGAGAGAAAACACUCACCCCUCUCUCCCUGAAGAGAAACCACCAGAAAUCCAGCCCAUUAUUGCAUACUAGAUGAAAGACCAUGCUAUCUGGAGACAGUCCCCUCCAUCAUGUUAGGGUGUGGCUCCUUGUGUUCUGGCCACCUACAAACUGAAAGACAAGUUUUCUGCCCUGAGAGCACCAGAUGCAUAAUGCAAAGGUGCAGGAAAACUGACCUUUUAAAUUUUUUAGAGACAGGGUCUUACUCUGUUGUCCAGUCUAGAGUACAGUGGUGUGAUCAUAGCUUACUGCAGCCUUGAACUUCUGGGCUCAAGUGAUCCUUCCACCUCAGUCCCCCUAGUAGCUAGGACUACAGGCACAUGCCACGAACGCCUGGCUAAACAUUUUUUUUUGUAGAGAUGGAGUAUUGCUAUGUUGCUCAGGCUGGUCUUAAACUCCUGGUCUCAAGCAAUCUUCUCACCUCAGCCUCCCAAAGCACUGGGAUCACUGGUGUGAGCCACCAUGCCCAAGAUCCCUAAAAUUGACCUUUUAGAAAAAGGGAGAAAUAGAAAUAUAGUGGCCACUGAUCCAUAGCAAUUUGAAAGUACCACUUGGCAAAAAUAAUUAAAUCUCUCUGCUAUAGUUCAUGAAUAUAUUCCUUGGUUUGCCUAUCAGGCAACCCCUGAUUCACCUUUCUGAGAGGAAUUCCUUUACCUAAUGUCCUCAGGGGGCCUUGGUUUUACUUUCUUGGAGGUUUUUAUUGUACAUUAAUUUUCAGACACAAUCUGAAUGGGCAUUGGAAAGUAUACCCUUCUUGGAGGCUGGGCAGCCUUAGCAGUUUACUUCCUAUAAUUGUGAGUCUGGGGGCAGGCUUGGGAAUUAGAGUAUAGAUCCGUAACAGCUACAGUCUAUUGCAGGCCAGGUUUGGGUUUUUGUUGUUGUUUUGUUCUGUUUCUUGGCCAAGUGGAUUCCUAAAACUUUAGUAAGUUUCUGGUCUGUUGUCUUCAGUCAUUUACAUGGACAGUAUUAACCAAGGUAAAAUACAUUGUUUUUAACAAAGAACCUCAUCAUUUACUUGCUGGCCUCUGUGUGCUCUCCAUCCCCUUUGUUCUUACAGGAAUGGUACCUCCUUGAGAUCCUUUGAGACUGUAGGCUUGCAUGGAAUGGCAACAGUCUUAAUCUGAUCUCUUCCCCUAGGAUGGCUCCUAUUAUUUGGCAGAAAAUUCUUAAGGGAAGGUUCUUAAAAAAGGUUGAGAAAGUUUUAGUAGCUCCCUCAGAGCCUUUACUUAUAAAUGUUUCAGUUUGGAGUACAGUUUUCAAUUCUUCAGGGCUCCAGAUUUGGGACUUGGUCAAUUUAUAUGGUAGACAAAGAGCAAUUCUCUCAGCAAAGCUAUUUUUCCCUUGCGUCACUGCAGACUUGUUAAUCUUAGUCCAAGUCACAUAUCUCUUGUAGGGCUUUGCUGAAAAGAGGCAAGAAGCAGCCAACACAUGCUAGCACUCUGAAGUUCUACCACCUUCGUCUCUGUGGCAGGAAGUCUCAACCUCACCUUGACUUCUGUUGGCAAGAAGUCUCACUGCCCAAAGCCCUACCUCCUCAACUAAGCCAACCCCAGAUUUAGGGCCUUCGACUUGCUGUGCUUUACUUCUAGCUGCCAAAUUCUGUAUAGGUCAAGAUUCUUGGCUGUAAGCAAUGAAAUCUUCUUUAGCUAUUAAACAGAAGGGAAUUGAUGAAUGAGUAUAUAUAGGUCACAGAAUCAAUGGGAGGGUUGAAGAAACAGAUCUAGGCUGAGCUUCUAGGAAUUAUGUCACAAGAGUAGGCUGCUGAAAGAGCUGCUGCUUUUAGAACAAUCAAGAAGCUGCCUGCUGGAUUAGGAAGCUGCCUGCUGAACAGUUGCCAGUUCCAGAGCCACACCACCUCUGCCAUGCUUUAUGCCAGCAAAAAUAGAUACAUCUCUUCCUGCCUCUGUCCCCACGUUACUUGGCUCUGAGUAAAAGUCUCAACCAUGAAGUACAAUCAAGAAGAAAUUGAAAAACAGUCAGAGUUAGAUGAUGAGCUUCAUCGUUUGUCAUGCAGGAUUUUUAUCCCCUGAAGAACCUGCUAGAGAAGUCCACCUUCACCCUUAACCACUGGUGCCUCAACUUAAUACUUUUAAAAUUCAUUUGUUUCUGUUGGAAUUGGGAUACUAAGGUCCAGAGGUGUCCUUCUAAAGCUGGUAGAGGUUUCACGAGUCAUCAGGGACCCAGAACCCUUCUCUUUUGCUGUCCCUUUGUCCUAGUGCAUGGUUUCCACACUGUGGUGCAAGAUGUCUCCUCAAGCUCUAGGCAUUACAUCUGCUAUCCUGCUGUCAGAAAGAAGGAAGGGGAAAAGAAGAUCAUUUCCUUCUCUUUAAGGACAUUUCCCAGAAGUCACACAGAACAUUUCCAUUUAUAUUACUUUGGCCAGAACUUGGUCAUAUGGCCACAUUUAGUUCCAGAAUGAUUAGGAAAUGCAGUCUUUUAUUGAUCCCUGUGCCCAGGAAAAUAUUGGAGGCCUUUUUCAAGGAAAAAGGGGAAAACAGAUAUUGGUUGACAAAUAGCAGUCUCUGCCAUACUGUCCCUGGAUACAUGUCUUUGAGUGAAUGUCCCUUAUUUACCAUUCUGAUUACUUGUUGGAUAUUUUCAAUAUGUGUUACAAUAUGGUUCCAAAAUUGUAUGUGAUAUUCCAACAGCAAGUUGGAUGCAAUGUGUCAUAAAAAUGACCUCAGUGUCAACCAGCAUUUGAAUACCGUGUCUCAAUGCUGUGCACCAAUAAAGAACACAGAAAGUCAGAGUUUUCCA